rnacentral:tRNA from 1 species
GCAGUGGUGGCCCAGUGGUAGAAUUCUCACUUUCCAUGUGGGAGACCUAGGUUCCACUCUUGGCCAAUGCA